UCCAAUUGCAGUUCACGUGAGGACACCUCCAUUAGCACGAAGACAAAGACAGCCAAAGCAAUUAACAGAGAAAGCCUGUAUCUGGUAGCCAAGCGAGACCUGCAGGAGCAUCGAGGUGCAUGGAUUGAUCAAGGAGUUGGGGCGUGUUGAGCAGGUCAAACGCCACCGACGUCGGUGGCGUACUGGCGUUGGGGCCAUAUGCCUGAGUACCUAUCCGACUUUCUUUACAAUGCAAUUUCUUCGCCGGCUGGUGCUUAUGGGUGAGAGUGACCAACAUGUAAGCUAGCCUAGCUAAGCUAACACACUGGUGGAUGGAUUCUGCAGAGGACAACCACGUACAAGCUGAAGCUGGUGGAUGGAUCGAUCACAGUGUACGCUACCAGGCUAGAGCUAGCCAACGGCUUCUCGCCCGAUGGAAACGAACAGACCAAGUCUCGCCGAGACACGCGCGCGACCCACGGAAUUAUGGCAACAAUUCUUAUGUGUGCACUUUGUUUCAAUUAUUUUGCUGCUUUUUCUAGGUCGCCCCAGACCUGACCUUCCUCAUGGCUUCCCUCAUCUAUGCCAAGCCGGCCGGAGGGCAGGGAGAGGCGGCGGGGCUUGGUGCACGCUGGUUCCUCCGGAUCGACUCCCUACUCAGAUCUGCACGCCCCUGAUGAUUGGAGGUAGGUUAAUCACUCUCCUCUUUAAAACUAGAUCGUUUUCUUCUUUGAUCUGGAAAACAUAAAGCCUUAGACACCCAACGGUAUGUUUCAACACGUUUUUAGCCUUGAUUUGAUGUAAAAAGGAUCUAAUUUCUCUUCCUGCUUAUGUUCUGGAUUUCAUCUUUUCUCCUUUCUCUGAUUUACUCAUACACGACUCCUGACUUGCUGCAUGUGGCUGCUGAAUCUUCCUACUACAGGUGUGCCUUUCACAUGUUCGUUGAGUUGCUUAAUGUCAUAUUUUUUUUUUAAAUCUGGAGUUAUGCAAUUGCAGCAACAAGGACGGAUGGCCAUCUUCACAGGUUAUGCCCCUUACUGUAAUUUGCAUUCAGUCAUGUGCAGUAAUAAUGCCAUAUUUGUUAGCCUGCUAGCUGUUUCCAGAUUUUUUUAGACAUGAUUGACUGCUUCUACACAAAAGGAGUUUGUCGAAAAUAAGAGCAAUCCCACUGUUGCUACAGAGCCUGAAGAUUCUUUGCCUUUCUUUGAACUGUUUCAGUUUUUUCUUUCAUAUGGCUACAAUUAUUUGAUUGGUCCAUGUAGAUUUAGGCAACAUGAGAUGAGCCGAUGAUAUAUAUUGUAAUGUACGAUGUCUAUUGCUACAAGUGUUGAUGUCUUGGUGAUGGCAGGUUUUGCAAGUAAUUGAAAUGAUUUUUGAGUAGAGGAUAAUUAGAGAUAUAAAGUUCUACCUGAUCUUGAGGUAUGUGAAAGUGAACUCGGUGAUUUCGAGUAAUUCUAAGAGUAUACAUCUCAUCUAUCUGGUAUCCUUUUUUGAGUAAUGAUAAGAGGAUACAUCUCAUCUAUCAGGAAUUAAUCCAUCUCGUUUUCUCUGUGUUUACCUUGUUCUACAAAUGGCUAACUAGGUAAUGAUUAUUGAUAGCUAAUGACAUGAGGGAGAGGGGGACAAGCCCCUUUAGCUACUGCAAUACGGUUGUGCAUACAAAUGUGCUACUCAUAUUCCACUGUUAGACGAGCUAGCCGCGAGAAGCAGGUUGUAAGGGGAGCCAGAGAGGUGAGGGAGGUGACCAAAGCGGCAGCGGCCUUGGGGUGCCGAAGAAGAGUGCACGGGAGGAUGGAAAGGGGCUCGUAUACGACGGCUGGAAGAGAACUAUGCUUUCCUAAACCUGAAUGGGCCAGAAGUGGCAAGACAGAUCUGGCAGUCAAUUAUUCUUCAGUUUCGGUUGUGAUGUUUCAACAUGAGUUCGGAGCGUUAAUGCUUUGCUGAUGCGAGGAGGUGAAGUUGUAUGCUACCAGAGUGCAGAUAUUUCUUGGUAUGUUUGCUUUCAAGAAAAGAUGGAUGUGUGUUGUGACUGUGACAGAUGGUUCUACUGGAUAUGCUGUUGGGUAUAUAACAAGAAGCAUUGGUAAGGAUAUCAAAAUACAAGAGAAUGCUGCAACGACCAAGGUGCCAUAUAUAUAUCGAAGGAGGAUUCAGAAUAUGAAGUUACUGGAAACAUUGUUGGAAGUGUUGGUCCUGAGAGCACAGAAAAGGAUUCAUCGUUUCUUAUAAAAACAUUACGAUCAUUCAAAGAAGCUUUGAUUAAGGAGGAUGACACAAAUGUUGCUGAGAUUGAGGCCUUCUUACUUUGCAUUGAUGUCGAUGAUGAGAAGAACUCUCUUAUGAGGAAAAUCAUUGCUUUGAAUUAUUGAUAACCGUGAGAGAUCGUGUCUUGAGAGCAGGUGCAGAAUCUGAAUUCUACAGAUUGAGAGCAGGUGCAGAUUCUGAAUUCUGUACACAGAAGAUAGAAACAGAGAGCUGGUGGCAAAUGUGCAAGGGGAGGUUAUGGAGAGCUUUCUUCGCUAGCUGAAUAAGUCUAUCAGGAGUCAAGGCCUGUUUUGUUGGAGGCUUGAUGGAACUUGCCUGGCCUGAUAAGUAACUGUGCGCGCGGUUUGGUUGGCGUCCUGGGUGCUUGGCUUGAGCUAGCAUGCCGUGUUGUUAUCUUGGUUGAGGCAGCUGGAGUUAGCAACGUGAUUAGUCAAGGGUGGCUGUCGAUGCCAUCUAAAAAAUACUCCCUCCGUCCCAUAGUGUAAGACGUUUUUUGACACUACACUAAUGUCAAAAAAGUCCUAUAUUAUGGGACGGAGGGAGUAGGUCUUAAAACUUCAUAUUUUCUCAGGAAAAAUUCGUAUGAAUUAAUGAAUAUCAGGCUACAUUCAGGCGAUAUUGUUUGUCAGGCACAGCGCUCAGGUAGCAACCACACAUUUAAGUGAGCUUUUGUUGAAAUGCGUUGGUACUUUAGUUUUUAGAUUCUGUGAUGAUUUUAUGCAUAAAUACAUGAGCUCUUUCAACCAGUACCACAUAGUAUUAAUGAGGUAACAGAAGCUUGCAAUUCAAUUAUGCUGCAUCUGCCCGAGUCUAGAAGGUCAGAUAAGUUGUUCCGCAAUAUAGACAACAACUUUUUAUGUGUCAUCACAGUGGGCCGAGAACUUGUUGAUGAAGCCAAUGAUUUGGUUGAUCAUAGUGAUAGGGCAUCAGAUGUAAUGCUAGAUUUAACCCCAGACAAAUGGGCAAACAUGAAAAGAGGAAAGAUGUCAAUGCAUGAGCCAGAGGGUUCCAGUGGUGAAUAUUUUGGACCAGAAGUCAAGGAUGUUUCACGCGAAGAAGCCAUUCUUUCCAAUGUUUACAUAUAAGAUAUACCAGUACAUCCCAAUUGGUAGGGCCCCUCCACUGAUAAGCUGGAUAUCCUUUCAACAAGUGGCUCGGAGAGAAUAAAGCGUUAGAUUUUAUCAUGCUUUUACAGUUUAACAUGUCAAAGAAGGGAGAGGAGACACCAGCGGAUGGCAAGAUGGAUGAACUGUUGGACAGUGUUAGCCUUAAUUACCUAAUUCCUAAUGAAGUUGAAAACUUUAUGACCAUCAUAGAAAAUGUGCAACACUCUUCUUCUGAGCAUGAAGGGCAGAAUGAUGAUUUCGAAGCAAAUGUCAUUGAGCAAGAUGAUGAACACAUUGGAAAGAUUUUACUAAUCUUACUGUUGCAUGCAAAGACAUUGGUGAUGUCAUAUCAGAAGACCCACAGAAGGUAUAGGUUUCCGAGGGCCAAGCAGAAAUAAGUGAAGGCUAUGCCGGUAUUCUAAAUAACGGCAACACAUGUUAUGUAAACACAGUUCUGCAGUAUUUUCAUUGUUUAUCGGAGCUCAAAGAAAUCUUAAUAAUUUGUGAACA